UACGUAGGGUGCGAGCGUUAAUCGGAAUUACUGGGCGUAAAGCGUGCGCAGGCGGUUUUGUAAGCCAGAUGUGAAAGCCCCGGGCUCAACCUGGGAAUGGCAUUUGGGACUGCAAGGCUUGAGUGCGGCAGAGGAGACUGGAAUUCCUGGUGUAGCAGUGAAAUGCGUAGAUAUCAGGAGGAAUACCGAUGGCGAAGGCAGGUCUCUGGACAGUUCCUGACGCUGAGGCACGAAGGCCAGGGGAGCAAACGGG
rnacentral:rRNA from 1 species